UACGAAGGGGGCUAGCGUUGCUCGGAAUGACUGGGCGUAAAGGGCGCGUAGGCGGAUGGCACAGUCAGAUGUGAAAUUCCCGGGCUUAACCUGGGGGCUGCAUUUGAUACGUGUUGUCUAGAGUGAGGAAGAGGGUUGUGGAAUUCCCAGUGUAGAGGUGAAAUUCGUAGAUAUUGGGAAGAACACCGGUGGCGAAGGCGGCGACCUGGUCCUUUUACUGACGCUGAGGCGCGAAAGCGUGGGGAGCAAACAGG
rnacentral:rRNA from 1 species